CAGUGAGACCCCACCUCAAAAAAACAACAAAGAACCCCACAUUAUACUUGAGUUCUAUCAAGUGCAACAAUAAGAAGAAACAAAUGGGGGAAUAUUGGAAUAGGAGAUAUAAAACUAUCUUCAUAGACACCAUGAUUCUGUAUGUAGAAAAUAAUAAAUCAAAAGUACUGAAAAGCUACUGAAUAAGUGAAUUUAGUAAGGCCACAAGUUGCAAGAUGAAGAGUUACCUAAGUCAGUGUUAUAAGAUGUUCCAUGGUAAAAGGGAUUUGAAGACAAAUUUUGGAAAUGCUGCAUACUGUAUCUCUCUUGAAGACUCCUAAAGGUGUCAUGAAGAAAACUGUUUACCUAAGUGGUUCCUAACACUGACUGAACAUCAGGCUUUCCUGGGCAGCUUUAAAAAUUCUGAUGCCCAGACUUUAUGUGGA
rnacentral:lncRNA from 1 species